GCUGACGAGUGGCGGACGGGUGAGUAAUGCUUGGGAAUCUGGCUUAUGGAGGGGGAUAACGACGGGAAACUGUCGCUAAUACCGCGUAGAAUCGAGAGAUGAAAGUGCGGGACCUUCGGGCCGCAUGCCAUAGGAUGAGCCCAAGUGGGAUUAGGUAGUUGGUGGGGUAAAGGCCUACCAAGCCGACGAUCUCUAGCUGGUCUGAGAGGAUGACCAGCCACACCGGGACUGAGACACGGCCCGGACUCC
rnacentral:rRNA from 1 species